rnacentral:rRNA from 1 species
GUGCACCAGGCGCGAAACUUCACAAUGUGCGAAAGCACGAUGAGGGAAUCCCAAGUGCUUGCACGUAAGUGUAAGCUGUUUCUCUGUCUAAAACGCAGAGAGAGUAAGGGCUGGGUAAGACGGGUGCCAGCCGCCGCGGUAAUACCUGCAGCUCGAGUGGUGACCGUUAUUAUUGGGCCUAAACGUCCGUAGCCGGUUUAAUAAAUGCCUGGGUAAAUCGGACCGCUUAACGGUUCGAAUUCCGGGUAGACUGUUAAACUUGAGACCGGGAGAAGUUAGAGGUACUCCUGGGGUAGAGGUGAAAUUCUGUAAUCCUAGGGGGACCACCAGUGGCGAAGGCGUCUAACUAGAACGGGUCUGACGGUGAGGGACGAAGCCCUGGGGCGCAAACGGGAUUAGAUACCCGCGUAGU